ensembl:rRNA 5S_rRNA 5S ribosomal RNA
ACCUUUUCGUACAGCCGGACUCACCUGGUCUGGUCUCUGAAGCUAAACUGGCUCAGACCUGCUUAGUCUUUGAAUGGGAGAUCACCUGGGAUCACCAGGUCCUAUGAGCUG